ACCAUUAGUUGUAAAUGUCGAUUGAAUUUCCACUGAGGUCAUGCGUUAUCGAUUCAUGAAUAUGCGAUUAAUGGUACCCUCCUUCGAUGUAUUAGUUAAAGAGGGAGCGAGAGUGAAGACUGAAGAAUACGAAGAGAGGGGAGCAAGGGCCCUCCGGGGACGGUGAUAUCGAUGAUAGCUAAGGUCGAAAGUUGCAUGCCAACGCGAAGUUUGAUGCGGAUGAACUGGAGGAUCCACCAAAGGUUGAAGAGAAGCUUGGUGCUGUUCCACAUGGUUCAUCCAUUGAUUCUUAUGGAAAUAUCUUUGCACCAGUGGUGAGAAGUUUGAGUUCCAGGCUGAGAUAUCUUAGCUUAUGGACAUAGGCUGAGGUAUCUUGGCUAAUGUCUACACGUGUGGCCAUGGCAAGGAACGAUUCUGUUGCUGGGUAUUCAGAAAAAUGGACCACACUAGAAGCCAUCUUGACCCACGGUAGAAGAAACAAGCAUCACAUGAGUGCUGAAUUCACCUGUCAUGUUGAAGUCAAACGCAUACGCAAUAGCCAAGAGUGGUUCAGGCUGACAUGUGGCGGUGGGAAUUGCAUGAAAGGUGUGGGGCGUGAAGACAAAGAUAUGUGGUGUGAUGGGUGCG